UGCUGGAUCCUUGAUCAGAAGUUCAUCCUUCCUUCCCAGUGACAGAGACAUCCACUUAUCAAUUCGACCAUGAAAACCAGAUAGGAAGCUUUGGCGAUAAAAAUAAGAGAGAAAUUUUGGAAAUUUCCGAGCUAAGAAGUACAUUAAUUUCCUCUUUGAUGGCCAUUGUUCCCAUGUUCUCCUCAUCUCUUCUUUUGUCAUACCCAGCUCAUAUGGAUUAAUCAUAGGCGCAAUCAUCACAGCACCAGCAAUUCUAUCAGGGAUGUAUUUGAGUGUGGCCCAAGCAUGCAUGCUUCCACUUGAGUAACCCAGCACCCAAAACUUGUUAUUGAUACCAAUAGCAUUUGCUAGGUGGAGCAUAUCAAGGGCUGAUG
rnacentral:misc_RNA from 1 species